GACGAACGCUGGCGGCGUGCUUAACACAUGCAAGUCGAACGGAAAGGCCCUGCUUGCAGGGUACUCUAGUGGCGAACGGGUGAGUAACACGUGGGUGAUCUGCCCUGCACUUCGUGAUAAGCCUGCGGAACUGGGUCUAAUACCGGGUAGGAGCCAUCUUUCGUGUUGUGGUUGGAAAGAUUUUUGGGUGUGGGGUGAGCUCGCGGGCUAACUGCUUGUUGGUGGGGUAAUGGCCUACCAAGGCGGCCACGGGUAGCCGGCCUGGGUGGGUGGACGGCCAAAUUGGGGCUGGGAUAAGGCCCAGAAUCCUACGGGAGGCAGCAGGGGGGAAUAAUGCAAAAUGGGCGGAAGCCUGAUGCAGCGACGCCGCGGGGGGGAUGACGGGCUUCGGGUUGGAAACUCCUUUCGCUAGGGAAGAAGCUUUUUGUGACGGUACCUAGAUAAGAAGCACCGGCUAACUACGUG
rnacentral:rRNA from 1 species